CUACGGGCUGCAGCAGUGAGGAAUAUUGCACAAUGGGGGGAACCCUGAUGCAGCAACGCCGCGUGGAGGAUGACGCAUUUCGGUGUGUAAACUCCUUUUAUAUGUCAAGAAAAUGACGGUAGCAUAUGAAUAAGCACCGGCUAACUCCGUGCCAGCAGCCGCGGGUAAUACGGAGGGUGCAAGCGUUACUCGGAAUCACUGGACGUAAAGGACGCGUAGGCGGGUUGGAAAGUCAGGUGUGAAAUCCUACAGCUUAACUGUAGAACUGCACUUGAAACUUCUAAUCUAGAGUAUGGGAGGGGGGGAUGGAAUUAGUGGUGUAGGGGUAAAAUCCGUAGAUAUCACUAGGAAUACCUAAAGCGAAGGCGAUCUCCUGGAACAUUACUGACGCUAAGGCGUGAAAGCGUGGGGAGCAAACAGGAUUAGAUACCCCUGUAGUC
rnacentral:rRNA from 1 species